GCGGUCGCCCACGACACCAGUCGCAUCGACCGAUGCAAGGGAAUCCGGUCCAACGCCGGAGCUGACGCGCAGCGGUAGGGGUGACGAGCGUGGCAUCACGCCACUGGGCCGACCGGCCCGGGAAGGCGCCACGUCUCGGCUGAUCCCGAGCCCGAAGACCUACUGGUGGCGUCCGUGCUGA
rnacentral:ncRNA from 2 species